GCGCGCUCCAGAGAAAUUUCCCACAAAAUGGCUGCCAAAACAAAUCCACCGCGGACACUCACACAAGGAACUUCCAGAAGUUAGUCCUCAAAGAUAGAUGUGGAUGCGUAAUUAUUUUUCAUGUAGAAAAUAUGACUACCCGAACAUAACUCCCGUGGCAUUUGUGUAAAAACUUCAGAGAAAAGAGGAACUUUGGCGAGAGCUGACAGUGUUAACACUGUAGGAAACCUGGCUGGUUUCCUCCGCAUACAUUUAACUUAAUAGAUUAUACAGCCAACAAAGAAGCCAAUUUACCUCAAAGCAGAGAACGGCAGCUACAAAUGUCUGCCACUGUACCUUUGACCCAGGUUUUACAAUAUCCCGCACUGCAAGGCUACCUACAGAUACCACAGAACUACUGCAGUAUACUUCAAGGUUGGAAAUCAACUCCGAGGAUAUACAAACUUAUUUUAAAGAGAAAAAUUAUCAACCAAACUGUCCAUUGUACAACAUUCACCACACUUUACGAUGGAGGGAUGACUCGCAUCAUUCCAGAUCCUGGAUCCUAGUGCUUAGACCACUACAACAUAUCCAUAACUGAUAGAAAUUAUAGCCCUAGAAAUUAUAGCCCAAACUAUGAAAAUAUGACCCAGGUUGUAAUAAAGCAAAAUUAUCAUUAAGUAGUUACAUCCCUACCUUGCAUCUAGAGGUGUAUAUGUAGGUCUAUUUUUUUUUUUAACAUAAAUUUGUAAAUAAGUAUAGUGAGUAGAUUAUUGUCUUGAACCAACUGUUUUGGCUCCGAAUGCAGAUUUAUAUUAAAACCUUGCAAGAGGCAUGCAACAAAUGACUGUUAAACAAAUACAUAAACACAUGAAUAGGUUAGACACAGCCAAGUGGAGGAGCCAGAGAGAUUAUGAACAGCCAAACCUGACAGCACAGGUUGUGUGUCCUCAAAUCACACUUUGCUACUAUAUCAGAAUUCGCAAAUUCAUUUUAGGCCAUGUGUGUCAUAUAUGGUGAAAAUUUUACUUGUUAAAAACAGUCCACCAGAUGGAGCUGUUUACCAAAGUUAAUGCAGGUGCGGGCAGUGCUGCCAUAUUCAGCUCCAGCUGUAAUGCAAUGGUCUUUUUCAACCAAAGAAACCACGAAGCUUCAGGAACUACAAUUCCCCUUUAAAUAUUCCUAUUUGUGUUUGGCAUCAAUUACCAGCCUGGUUGGGAUGAAAAGACUGAAAUCCUUAUGGAUACAUAAACCUAAAGAUAUAUCAAGAAUAGCAUAAUUUAAUUAUGGACCUCUCAAUAAGGAAGUUGUGUUAGUUAAUAUGAUUAUAUAUUUAAAAUAUAUAAUUAAUAUGAUUAUAUAUUUAAAAUUUCAAAACCUAUACAAAUAUUAGAAAACAAUUUCAAGAACAGGACAAAAUUAUCAAAUGGCCUGGGAAGAAAAAACAAACAAAGAAAACACCACCGAAUAAAAAACCUAGGGUAAGGUACAAAACUCUACAGCUACUCGAGAACAAAGGGGUCUUCCGGGUUAGAAGGUUUAUUAUAAGAGAGUGCAACUAAUGGCUUUAAUUGAUUGGUUCACACCUUACCAUAAAAGAGAUGAAAAAACAUUGAGCAAGCAAUGGGAAAAGGAACAUCACUUAAUACAGUGAUUGGUGAGCCGUCACUAUCCAUAACCAACUGUUCGAUAACAAUAAGCUGAGGGUUAUUGGUUCAGACAGACAUUGACAAAACAUUUUUUUUAAAGUGAUAGUAGAAAAUGAGCUACUUAUAUUUAUGAGAGUACAUGAAGAUGGACCUUACAUAAAUGUAAUUUCAAAAUUAUACUUGAGCCUUGAACAACUUAAGAAACAAAUGACUAACGACGUUAAAACAAAUCAUUGAAAUCAGACUAACUCUUUGAGAUCUUAUGGACACAUCAUUUUCAUGUAUUUUGGAGCUGUGGCUCUGCAGCUCCGUUUUGGACCAAAAUUUAAAAUCUCCUGGAAACUGUCCUCCAAACCAAAACUUCAAGUUGUGAGCUGAUGUACCCAAUUAAAUUGGAGAUCUUGAAUGAGGGAAGAAGGAAAAAUAUUUGUUGAAAAUAUCAUUUGAGUCUUUUAAGAAAUCCCUGUCUAAGAAUUAGCUGAAGAAAGAAAUACCUUGGUUUGACGAAUGGAUCGACUUGAUGUACAAUAUUUAUGUGAUGGGGAAAAUUACUUACAACUUGACAACAAGGAAGGAAACAUUUGUUGGGAUCUGCACAAAAUUGUUUUGUUUUUUUUUUCAUUUUUCAGACCAGACAUAAAAUGCAUCAGAAACACAUUGUAACUCUUCGUCUCCCGUUAUUAUAGGUUAACUUGUUAAUUAUUUAUUCAUUCCCCCUGUAAUUUUUUUUCGCGUUUCUUCCUAAUGUUUAAAAUGUCCACAAGUUUGUAUGGUGUUUGGUUAUGUAGUUUGUUAAAUUAUGUAAAUUAUUUUUUAAAGUAAAUAAAAAGAAAAUUACAAAAGAAACAAAAGAUGAAAAGCACCAUUUUAGAGGUGCCAAACACAUGGUUUGACAUACAGUUGAGACCGGAAGUAUUUGGAGAGUUAAAUUUUUUUGUUCUUCAGGCUUUGGGCUUCAGCACAUUCAAUUUGAAAUAAAACAAUGGAUAC